rnacentral:rRNA from 1 species
AACGAACGCUGGCGGCAGGCCUAACACAUGCAAGUCGAACGCUCGUAGCAAUACGAGAGUGGCAGACGGGUGAGUAACACGUGGGAACCUUCCCUAUGGUUCGGAAUAGCCCAGGGAAACUUGGGGGUAAUACCGGAUAAGCCCUUCGGGGAAAGGAUUUAUCGCCAUUGGAUGGGCCCGCCGUCGGAUUAGCUAGUUGGUGGGGUAACGGCCUACCAAGGCGACGAUCCGUAGCUGGUCUGAGAGGANGAUCAGCCACACUGGGACUGAGACACGGCCCAGACUCCUACGGGAGGCAGCAGUGGGGAAUAUUGGACAAUGGGCGCAAGCCUGAUCCAGCCAUGCCGCGUGAGUGACGAAGGCCUUUAGGGUUGUAAAAGCUCUUUUGGCGGGAAGACAAUGACGGUACCCGCAG